rnacentral:rRNA from 1 species
CAGAGCGAACGCUANCGGCGCGCUUAACACAUGCAAGUCGUGCGAGAAAGUUCUCUUCGGAGGGCGAGUAGAGCGGCGAACGGGUGAGUAACACGUGGAUAAUCUACCCUUGAGUUUGGGAUAACCAGCCGAAAGGCUGGCUAAUACCGGAUAAGACCACACGUCAUAAGGCGUGCGGCCAAAGGCGGGUUUCGGCCUGUCGCUCGAGGAUGGGUCCGCGACCCAUCAGCUUGUUGGUAGGGUAACGGCCUACCAAGGCUAAGACGGGUAGCUGGUCUGAGAGGACGAUCAGCCACACUGGCACUGACACACGGGCCAGACUCCUACGGGAGGCAGCAGUGGGGAAUCUUGCGCAAUGGGCGAAAGCCUGACGCAGCGACGCCGCGUGAGGGAAGAAGGCCUUCGGGUCGUAAACCUCUGUCGGGGGGGAAGAACCCCUGGUGGAUUAAUACCCCACCAGGCUGACGGUACCCCCUAANGAANNAUCGGCUAACUACGUGCCAGCANCCGCGGNAAUACGUAGGAUGCAANCGUUGCUCGGAAUUAUUGGGCGUAAAGGGCGCGUAGGUGGCCUGNNNAGUCAGGGGUGAAAUCCCACAGCUUAACUGUGGACCUGCCUCUGAUACUGCUAGGCUUGAGUGCUGGA